rnacentral:rRNA from 1 species
AUCGAUGAAGAACGCAGCGAAAUGCGAUAAGUAAUGUGAAUUGCAGAAUUCAGUGAAUCAUCGAAUCUUUGAACGCAUCUUGCGCUCCUUGGUAUUCCGAGGAGCAUGCCUGUUUGAGUGUCAUUUGACUUAUCAACCACUUCAAUGUCUGAACGUGGCUUGGAUGUGGAGGUCUUUGCAGGCUUUCUCCGUCUUGGGAAAAGGUCGGCUCCUCUGAAACAUAUUAGUGGCAUCUGAGCUGCUACCAUAGGUGUGAUAACUAUCUAUGCCUUUUGGUAUGCUGCAUGAACAGAUUGCGCUGCUUAGAACUCGAAAACAAACAUGACAAACUUGACCUCAAAUCAGGUAGGACUACCCGCUGAACUUAAGCAUAUCAAUAAGCGGAGGAAAAGAAACUAACAAGGAUUCCCCUAGUAACUGCGAGUGAAGCGGGAAAAGCUCAAAUUUGAAAUCUGGCGGUUCCUUGGACUGUCCGAGUUGUAAUCUAGAGAAGUGUUACCUGUGCUGGACCGUGUACAAGUCUCCUGGAAUGGAGCAUCACAGAGGGUGAGAAUCCCGUCUUUGACACGGACUGCCUGUGCGAUAUGGUGCGCUCUCGAAGAGUCGAGUUGUUUGGGAAUGCAGCUCAAAAUGGGUGGUAAAUGCCAUCUAAAGCUAAAUAUUGGCGAGAGACCGAUAGCGAACAAGUACCGUGAGGGAAAGAUGAAAAGAACUUUGGAAAGAGAGUUAAACAGUACGUGAAAUUGCUGAAAGGGAAACGCUUGAAGUCAGUCGCGUCGGCUAGAAAUCAGUCUUGCUCUUGCUUGAUGUACUUUCUGGCUCGACGGGUCAGCAUCAAUUUUGACCGCCGGAUAAAGUCAUCGGGAAUGUGGCAUCUCAGGAUGUGUUAUAGCCCGUUGUCGCAUACGGUGGUUGGGAUUGAGGAACUCAGCACGCCGCGAGGCCGGGUCUUUCUUUGACCACGUUCGUGCUUAGGAUGCUGGCAUAAUGGCUUUAAUCGACCCGUCUUGAAACACGG